GGUUCUUCGGGAAGAGUGAGGAAUCUGGCCUGCCCAAUGAUUUAUUUAAUGGCCGCGGUAAUUUGACCGUGCAAAGGUAGCAUAAUCAUUAGUCCUUUAAUUGAGGUCUGGCAUGAAGGGUCGGACGAGGGGGUGUCUGUCUUUUUUUAGUUUUGUUUUGAAUUUUACUUUUUAGUGAAAAGGCUAGAAUUUUCUUGGGGGACGAUAAGACCCUAUAGAUCUUUACAUUGAGGGCUAACAACGGGUUGGCUGAUGUGUUUUGUUGGGGUGACAGGAAGAUAUAAUUAACUCUUUUGUAGGAUAAUCAUUACUGGUGGGUAUGGGUUUUGUUUAUUGGUCCUUUGUUCAAGAUUAUUAGAUUAAGUUACCUUAGGGAUAACAGCGUAAUCCUUUUUGAGAGUUCUUAUUGACAAAAGGGUUUGCGACCUCGAUGUUGGAUUAAGAAGUCUUUGUGGUGCAGAAGCUACAAAUGGAGGGUCUGUUCGACCUUUAAUUUCUUACA
rnacentral:rRNA from 1 species